AAUGGAACCUGCAGGAACCAACCAUGUGGACAAAUGAAAAAAAUGUCUUUUGUCUACAAAUUGCAGUGAUCCUACAUAAAGAUGGAGGUCUCUGUCUGGCUUAGGACAGCUGGCUAAGUCUGAUCGUUCCCCUCCAUACAAC